rnacentral:rRNA from 1 species
GAUGAACGCUAGCGGCAGGCUUAACACAUGCAAGUCGAGGGGUAGAAGGAGCUUGCUCCUUUGAGACCGGCGCACGGGUGCGUAACGCGUAUGCAAUCUACCUUUUGCAGAGGGAUAGCCCAGAGAAAUUUGGAUUAAUACCUCAUAGUAUGUGAGGAUGGCAUCAUUUUCACAUUAAGUCACAACGGCAAAGAUGAGCAUGCGUCCCAUUAGCUAGUUGGUAAGGUAACGGCUUACCAAGGCUACGAUGGGUAGGGUCCUGAGAGGGAGACUCCCCCCACACUGGUACUGAGACACGGACCAGACUCCUACGGGAGGCAGCAGUGAGGAAUAUGGACAAUGGGCGCAAGCCUGAUCCAGCCAUGCCGCGUGCAGGAUGACGGUCCUAU